GACGAACGCUGGCGGCGUGCCUAAUACAUGCAAGUUGAGCGAUGAAGAUUGGUGCUUGCACCAAUUUGAAGAGCAGCGAACGGGUGAGUAACGCGUGGGGAAUCUGCCUUUGAGCGGGGGACAACAUUUGGAAACGAAUGCUAAUACCGCAUAAUAACUUUAAACAUAAGUUUUAAGUUUGAAAGAUGCAAUUGCAUCACUCAAAGAUGAUCCCGCGUUGUAUUAGCUAGUUGGUGAGGUAAAGGCUCACCAAGGCGAUGAUACAUAGCCGACCUGAGAGGGUGAUCGGCCACAUUGGGACUGAGACACGGCCCAAACUCCUACGGGAGGCAGCAGUAGGGAAUCUUCGGCAAUGGACGAAAGGCUGACCGAGCCACGCCGCGUGGGUGAAGAAGGUUUUCGGAUCGUAAAACUCUGUUGGUAGAGAAGAACGUUGGUGAGAGUGGAAAGCUCAUCAAGUGACGGUAACUACCCAGAAAGGGACGGCUAACUACGUG
rnacentral:rRNA from 1 species